GAUGAACGCUGGCGGCGUGCCUAAUACAUGCAAGUCGAGCGAACUGAUUAGAAGCUUGCUUCUAUGACGUUAGCGGCGGACGGGUGAGUAACACGUGGGCAACCUGCCUGUAAGACUGGGAUAACUUCGGGAAACCGAAGCUAAUACCGGAUAGGAUCUUCUCCUUCAUGGGAGAUGAUUGAAAGAUGGUUUCGGCUAUCACUUACAGAUGGGCCCGCGGUGCAUUAGCUAGUUGGUGAGGUAACGGCUCACCAAGGCAACGAUGCAUAGCCGAACUGGAAGGGUGAUAGGCCACACUGGGACUGGUACACGGCCCAGACUCCUACGGGAGGCAGCAGUAGGGAAUCUUCCGCAAUGGACGAAAGUCUGACGGAGCAACGCCGCGUGAGUGAUGAAGGCUUUCGGGUCGUAAAACUCUGUUGUUAGGGAAGAACAAGUACAAGAGUAACUGCUUGUACCUUGACGGUACCUAACCAGAAAGCCACGGCUAACUACGUGCCAGCCGCCGCGGUAA
rnacentral:rRNA from 1 species